rnacentral:rRNA from 1 species
GACGAACGCUGGCGGCGUGCCUAAUACAUGCAAGUUGAGCGAUGAAGCUUGGUGCUUGCACCAAUUUGAAGAGCAGCGAACGGGUGAGUAACGCGUGGGGAAUCUGCCUUUGAGCGGGGGACAACAUUUGGAAACGAAUGCUAAUACCGCAUAACAACUUUAAACAUAAGUUUUAAGUUUGAAAGAUGCAAUUGCAUCACUCAAAGAUGAUCCCGCGUUGUGUUAGCUAGUUGGUGAGGUAAAGGCUCACCAAGGCGAUGAUACAUAGCCGACCUGAGAGGGUGAUCGGCCACAUUGGGACUGAGACACGGCCCAAACUCCUACGGGAGGCAGCAGUAGGGAAUCUUCGGCAAUGGACGAAAGUCUGACCGAGCAACGCCGCGUGAGUGAAGAAGGUUUUCGGAUCGUAAAACUCUGUUGGUAGAGAAGAACGUUGGUGAGAGUGGAAAGCUCAUCAAGUGACGGUAACUACCCAGAAAGGGACGGCUAACUACGUG